CCCAGAUUCUGACUAUCAGUUUGUGCAGGCAAGUGGCCAGCUUUUCCGGGCCCAUCUUGAUGAGCUCAGCUCCGAUACCAUCCUUACCAGCUGCUUUAUUGGUCUUUAGCUGUUGAAUGGCAUCCUUAACUUCCCUCAAGGUGGGGGCUGGUUGGCUUCCAUCGUCCGCUGAACUGACGUAGUCAUCUUCUCCGCUGCCUUGACUUUCAUUGCCUGUACUCUCAGCGCCAUUCAGAUGUUCCUCGUAGUGCUGCUUCCACCUUUCGAUCACCACACGUUCGUCCGUCAAGAUGCUCCCAUCCUUAUCCCGGCACAUUUCGGCUCGCGGCACAAAGCCUUUGCGGGAUGCGUUGAGCUUUUGAUAGAACUUGCGUGUAUCUUGAGAACGGCACAGCUGUUCCAUCUCCUCGCACUCCGCUUCUUCCAGGCGGCGUUUCUUUAACAACCUUUUUUAACAACCUAAUUUAACCUAAAUUGUUGCUUGAUAAAAAAAGAACCUGAAAAUCAGUUCGAGAUAAACUAAUAUUCUAGGUUGUCAUUUACCAGCGCGCUCCGUCAAUCAUAUUUGUGUUGAGCUUUCAAGUGAGUCUAAAUUUUCGGUAGGCUAAGCGUCGAUCGUUACAGUUUCCUGUACCAUCAUGGACGUCUCUCUCUUUGGAACUGGCAAGGGGUUCAAUAGGAAGAUCUGUGCUUGGAACUGGCUAUCUACAUAUGCGAUCCAUUCAUCUUUCGACCGAGUAAGUGCCACUAAAACAUUUUGCUGUGGAAUAGGAUCGGUUUCCGGGAUGUUGAAACUAGGGAGCGGUUGGAAGUCUGAAGCAGUGCUUUAACCCCCAGAAGAUAUUUUUACCCAUUAUACAAUUGUGGAAUAUUCCGAUCGGCCGACAAUCUAACUCAUCAUAUGCUGCCGCUGCCAACAUAAAUGUCCUUCAUUGAUAUGAAACCCAUAUCGACAAGGGACAAUUAUGCUUGCGGCGGUAGUAUAGUCGCCGCAUAAUAAUGAACAACUACGAUUUUUUGUUUGUUAAAAUUACGCUAUAUAUGUUCAAUAAAGCUUUAUAAAAAUAAAA